AACGAACGUUGGCGGCGUGGAUGAGGCAUGCAAGUCGAACGCGAAAGCCGCAAGGCGAGUAAAGUGGCGGACGGGCGAGUAACACGUAAUCAAGCUACCUGCGAGACGGGGAUAACUUCGGGAAACCGAAGCUAAGACCCGAUGGUCUUCUAGGAACGCAUGUUCCCAUGAAGUAAAUGGGCGGGAUCCUCCGGGAUCGCCUGCUCGCAGAGGUGAUUGCGGCCCAUCAGCUAGUUGGUAGGGUAAUGGCCUACCAAGGCAACGACGGGUAGCCGGCCUUAGAGGGUGGUCGGCCGCACUGGGACUGAGACACUGCCCAGACUCCUACGGGAGGCUGCAGUCGAGAAUCUUCCGCAAUGGGCGAAAGCCUGACGGAGCGACGCCGCGUGGAGGAUG
rnacentral:rRNA from 1 species